UGAUUCUUUGGUCAACGAUUGCAUGGUA
rnacentral:sRNA from 1 species